rnacentral:tRNA from 1 species
UCUCUGGCAGUCCAUUGGUUAGGACUCUACACUUCCACUGCAGGAAGCCUGGGUUUAAUCCCUGGUCAGGGAA